GGGGGAGUUCCUUAAUCUAACUUGCUGCUCUCUCUCCCCCUGUUGCGUUUCUUUCUCUCCAAACUCAGGAGACUUUAAGCUUCAUGUCAACCUUCCGAACACGUUUUGUGAUGGUAGACUGAAGGACUAACAAGCACUUCAAUGAUGAUCUACCGAGCUUCUAUCAUCAUAGUGCUGAAAGUAUUCUCUGAACAUGGAAGCGUCCUUGUUGGUGAUUCAUGGAUGCUUCGUUCAGUGUAAAAACCAGGCUGCUUUGGAGGCGGCAAGACAUCACAACUGCUUAACAUCAGAACCACAGAUGACAUGCUUGGUCUAUCCUCAGGUCCAAAGCCACCUUCUCCCAGCUUGUUGCAGCUUGAAAAGUUGUCAGUGGCUUUAGCUAUGGUGGUCAAGUCAAACAGUGGUAACUCCAUCUCUUCCCCGUCUUCUCUGAG